AGAACGAACGCUGGCGGCAUGCCUAAUACAUGCAAGUCGAACGAACACUUCGGUGUUAGUGGCGCACGGGUGCGUAACGCGUGGGAAUCUGCCCUUGGGUUCGGAAUAACAGUUGGAAACGACUGCUAAUACCGGAUGAUAUCGAAAGAUCAAAGAUUUAUCGCCCAGGGAUGAGCCCGCGUAGGAUUAGCUAGUUGGUGAGGUAAAGGCUCACCAAGGCGACGAUCCUUAGCUGGUCUGAGAGGAUGAUCAGCCACACUGGGACUGAGACACGGCCCAGACUCCUACGGGAGGCAGCAGUAGGGAAUAUUGGACAAUGGGCGCAAGCCUGAUCCAGCAAUGCCGCGUGAGUGAUGAAGGCCUUAGGGUUGUAAAGCUCUUUACCCGAGAUGAUAAUGACAGUAUCGGAGAAUAAGCCCCGGCUAACUCCGCGCCAGCAGCCGAC
rnacentral:rRNA from 1 species